rnacentral:lncRNA from 1 species
UAGCAACAUGUUAGGGGAAAAAAAAAAAGAUACAGAGCUAUUGAAGACACAAAUGUGGGCUGCAAGCCAUCUCAUCCUGUGAUGAAAAUUAAUGAAGUUGCACAAGUAAAGAGACGAGAAACCAAGUGGCUGAUAGAAGGAUACACAAAGAACUAUACAGACCUAACAUGGAAAUAAUUGGACCAUUCAUCUAAACUCUACACCUGCAACCAAAAUGUCAGCUCAGCACCAUAUGGGUAAAGAAUUGUUGUCCCCAGGCAGUAGGACAGAAGUGAGAUAGCCUGCGAAGACUCUACAAACCUGUCUGUGAAGGAGAAAGGGAGCCUUGUUAUUCCUGUUGGAAGAAGAAGCUUCAGCUGUGCACCUGGCUGAGAAAAAAAAGCCAACUGAUCCAAAUGGAAGUGAUGCAGUAGGAAUCCGCCCUCCAUGUCCUGCCCAAAUUCUUUCUUCCAUCACCAUGGAUGGGAUAACUUUUGUCAUCCUCUUCCAAAGUGAGGGACAGUCUGUGCACUGAUGAAUUAAGGCAGACAGUGAGGCUGUGGGAGGCAUGUGUCAGGAAGAGCACAUCGUCAUCUGUGUUACAGCCUCUGAGACCCCAGCUGAGGAACAGAUGCAUACAUGUUCUUAACCUUACCUCAAUGAUCUGUUUAAGCUUCACUGUGCAAAUUAUAUU